GACGAACGCUGGCGGCGUGCUUAACACAUGCAAGUCGAGCGAGACCCCGCUUUCGGGUGGGUGUUCUAGCGGCGAACGGGUGAGUAACACGCGGGCAACCUGCCCUCAGCUCUGGGAUAACUCCAAGAAAUUGGGGCUAAUACCGGAUAUGACCGCUGACCGCAUGGUCUGGUGGUGGAAAGAUUUAUCGGCUGGGGAUGGGCCCGCGGCCUAUCAGCUUGUUGGUGGGGUAGUGGCCUACCAAGGCGGCGACGGGUAGCCGGCCUGAGAGGGUGACCGGCCACACUGGGACUGAGACACGGCCCAGACUCCUACGGGAGGCAGCAGUGGGGAAUAAUGCGCACUGGGCGAAAGCCUGACGCGGCGACGCCGCGUGGGGGAUGACGGCCUUCGGGUUGUAACCCUCUUUCAGCAGGGACGAAGCGAAAGUGACGGUACCUGCAGAAGAAGCACCGGCCAACUACGUGCCAGCCGCCGCCGUAA
rnacentral:rRNA from 1 species